rnacentral:hammerhead_ribozyme from 1 species
AUCCAUUUGACGAGUCCCAAAUAGGAAGAAACGCGCGUUCGAGAU